AAAAACUAAGAACAAUUAUAAGCAAACAUAUAUUGAAUGGGAAGUGGAAAAGCUCAGUAUUACCUUCUUCUAUGGAAAACAGCAAGUCAACAUACUGCAAAAAUCACAUCAAAAGGCUCCAAAAACCCUUCAGGAUUUGGAUUACCUUUGGAAUUCUGGGCCACUUCCCUAACAGAAAAUGGGGAAGUCCCAAACUUCUGAGUCUAACCUGAUGACAGCUUAAAGGAAAAUGAGUUUAGAGAAUCUUUGGCACCAUUAGUUCUUCUUUUGUACCCUCUCUUGGCAAAUGACCCCAGAAAUUCAUGAUCUGGAAAGAAACUACAAAGGAUAUUUGAAACCAUGUGAUGUGCAACUUCAAGAGACUGCCAAUAUUCAUCUGGAACAAAACUUGUCUGGACUAAAAACAGUUACAUAUUCGUAAUGCUAUAGUAAACAAGACCAGAUAAAUGUUUUCACCAAGAAGAUCUGAAAAACAAAACAAAACAGCUUCAUCUUCUCGUGGGAGCGGUUCUGCAGACCGCGGAAAAAGAGUCGGCCGUUGCCACCUUCUUGCUCCAUCCUGCACCUAUUUCGAUAUCUACUGAGGAUCCCCUGACACCUCAGUCCCUCGGAAGAAGGACCCUGAAGUAACGCGCGUUGCUCUUCCGCUCAUUAAGUUUGGCCACUGCAGCAGCCGUAGCUCGCAGGCGCGGAGAUACCUGGGAAAAGGCAGCCUCCUCACGCCGGCCUGCGAAUGCCUUCGGAAUAUUGCACGUUUGUCUGGCGCGGAUCUGAAGAUCUUUCCUGGAUGUGGACUAUAAUUUUUCAAAACCACUGGUGGCAGAAGCACUGAAUACAUUUGUUGAAAAAAUGUUUGG